AAAAAAUGUGUACAAUUGACAAAAAAAUAUUAAUAUUGUAGUUAAUUGAUUUUAGUUGCCCACUUAUAAAAUUGAUAGAAAUUCUUGUUUUGUUUUAGAAUGAGCAAUUUGCUCAAUCUCAAAAUUAAGUCGGUUGAUUUUUUCGGCCUAAUUUCCUGGCCCAAAAACAACAACAACCACCCUACAACCAGCCCAAAUCCCUUUAAAUUUACUAAACCCAACCCAGCAAAAAAAAACAAAUAAAAAUAAAAAAGUAAAACAGGUUUGCUCUUUCUUUGGUCUUUAUUGUUGAUGUCAUCUGCCUUGCUUUUGUUUUCUUCAGUCUCAACCUUUG
rnacentral:lncRNA from 1 species